rnacentral:piRNA from 1 species
UAGGCUCACAGUAAUGGGGAGUGAGGU